rnacentral:rRNA from 1 species
AUUGAACGCUGGCGGAAUGCUUUACACAUGCAAGUCGAACGGCAGCACGGACUUCGGUCUGGUGGCGAGUGGCGAACGGGUGAGUAAUGUAUCGGAACGUGCCCAGUCGUGGGGGAUAACGUAGUGAAAAUUACGCUAAUACCGCAUACGAUCUAUGGAUGAAAGCGGGGGAUCGCAAGACCUCGCGCGAUUGGAGCGGCCGAUAUCAGAUUAGGUAGUUGGGGGGGUAAAGGCCCACCAAGCCAACGAACUGUAGCUGGUCUGAGAGGACGACCAGCCACACGGGAACUGAGACACGGUCCAGACUCCUACGGGAGGCAGCAGUGGGGAAUUUUGGACAAUGGGCGAAAGCCUGAUCCAGCCAUUCCGCGUGCAGGAUGAAGGCCCUCGGGUUGUAAACUGCUUUUGUACAGAACGAAAAGGUUUCUACUAAUACUAGGAGCUCAUGACGGUACUGUAAGAAUAAGCACCGGCUAACUACGUGCCAGCAGCCGCGGUAA